CUCAAAGCAGAGUUCUCACAAUGUUCUCUGCUGGUUGUAACCCGCUCUAUUCCACCUCUUUGCAGAUCCAGUCCUUGUCUCUCAGGAAGGUGGAAGGGAUCCACAAGGUGCCAAAGGCUGUGGACACAGAGGAGGACUCUCCAGAGGAAGGUGGGACCUUACUUUCUUUCCUGGGUGUCCAGUGCAGAAACAGAUUUGCUGCCCUCCUCCUUGUUUAGUUUGUCUCUACUUAACUGUAUCUGGACAUCCGAAGCUGGAGUGGAGGGAUCUAAGGACAUGAAAUAAUAUUUCUUAACACCUUCUGUGUGCCAGGCAUGUGACAUGCAGGUACUAACAUACAAUCUGCUGGUUUAGUGAUGGGGAAGCCC
rnacentral:lncRNA from 10 species